rnacentral:tRNA from 1 species
GGGGUUGGUGAGUGGUUAAGAGUGCAGACUGCUCUUCUGAAGGUCCUGAGUUCAAAUCCCAGCAACCACA